rnacentral:rRNA from 1 species
CCGUUCAAUACUGCGGAGCUCGAGGGCAGAAGAGGGGGGUGGAAUUGCUGGUGUAGUGGUGAAAUGCGUAGAUAUCAGCAGGAACACCUGUGGCGAAAGCGGCCCCCUGGUCUGCUCCUGACACUCAGACGCGAAAGCUAGGGGAGUGAACGGGAUUAGAAACCCCGGUAAUCCUAGCCGUAAACGAUGGAUGCUAGGUGUGGGUGGUAUUGACCCCAUCCGUGCCGAAGCCAACGCGUUAAGCAUCCCGCCUGGGGACUACGGCCGCAAGGUUAAAACUCAAAGGAAUUGACGGGGACCCGCACAAGCAGCGGAGCGUGUGGUUUAAUUCGAUGCUACACGAAGAACCUUACCCAGGUUUGACAUGCAGGUAGUAGUGAAGCGAAAGCGGAACGAUCCUUCGGGAAGCCUGCACAGGUGCUGCACGGCUGUCGUCAGCUCGUGCCGUGAGGUGUUUGGUUAAGUCCACUAACGAGCGCAACCCCUGUCGUCAGUUACAUGUGUCUGGCGAGACUGCCGGUCUUAAACCGGAGGAAGGUGGGGAUGACGUCAAGUCAGCAUGGCCUUUAUAUCUGGG